CUUCAGUCUGUUGCGAGCACUGUCUCUUUCCAUUUUCACUUUCACAUUUUGCCUCAGAUUAGUAUCAUUGGAGUGGCUGCUGUUAAAACUUGUGCUUUGAAUGAAGAGAUCCUCCAAACAGGCUUUGUGUGAGCAACAUGGCUGUUUUUCACCUGGGUGCAGACACUGCAGGAGCCAGAAGGAUGACCGAGUCAGA
rnacentral:lncRNA from 1 species